rnacentral:piRNA from 1 species
AUCAGUCUUUUUAGAUGCAUUCUGAGUCCU